ACAAAACCAGACAAAACGUUCACCGAAAACCUUAAAAUGAAAAAGAAACUAUGUUCUUCAAGGUCGGAGCACCUUUAGUGACGCUAGUGACCUCUUUAUGUCGUUCCGUAAGCUCCCCAUGUAUUUCUUAUGGAGUCAGCUGAGACUUUCAUAGCCCUGCUACAGUUUUAAUUUUUUUUUCCAUAUUAUUGUUUACCCAAUUUGACAACUAAUUUUUGUGUGUGUAAACUAAGGAUAGUAUUAGUGUAUAAAUUUUAUUUGAAGCAACUUUUUUUAUUUGUACAUUUGCAAUGUGCAUUUGAACUUUGUGCACUAUAGUGGACAUUGUGACUGUGCUUCUACAAAUAAAGAAUGGCUGGUAAAAAAGCACUAAGUCAUGCAGAACUUGUAGAGUUGAUUGAAGGUGACUUGUCGGACCUUGAAUGCCUAAGUGAUGACCAGUCAGAUGGUUGGGAAAGUGAGGGCCCUGAACCCCCAGAUGAUGUAGAAAAUUUGGUUGUUUUUCAAUCAUCAGGAAGCUCGGAAGAAGACAAUAAUGAAACUCCUUUUUUUGAACAUCGAACAGUACAGCCUCAACCUACCAUUUUACAAGAAUUAUCGAAAAAACAAAGAAUAGCAAACUUUAUGCAAACACAUGAUUUAACAUCAAAGAAAGAAAAAAAAAAAAGAAAUUUUAGAUCUAAUCCAUUUUAGAGCAUAUGUCGCUGAAAGUUUGAUAUAUGCAAACAAAACGCCAAAAAAACGAGGAAGACCCUCUUUAUCUCAAAGCAUGUCUCCGACAUCGUCACCAAGACCUUCGUCAAGUCUAUCUUCAAGAGAUUCACUUCAACAUACGUUACCUCCAAAAAAAAUUGUAAAAAAAGAACACGUACCCGUGAUUGAAGUACGCCAGGAUAAUAUUGGCCAUUUGCCAGAUAUGGAUCAAAAGAGUUUUGCUUCUCGGUGUAAAUAUCCUAAUUGCAAACGGAAAACGUAUGUAUUUUGUGUUAAAUGUACGGUACAUUUAUGUAUACAAAAAAAUCAGAAUUGUUUUAAAUUGUAUCAUGAAAAGUAAUGUUUGAGUUUAAAUAAAACACCAAUGUUUGACUGAUGUGUUACUACAAUUGAGUCACAAUGUCCACUACAGUGGACAUGAUUUUUUUCAAAAAGUAUGACAAAAAGUCACUUGAUAUUUACAUGAAAAAUCUUUAAAAAAAUAAUACAUCGUCUGUGCAAAAAAAAAAAAUUUUAUAUCAACUAAUAAAAAUGCAUGACUGAAAGGGUUAAACUGCAGAGCAUGAAAAUUUACGUUCACUUUAAAUUAUACAACAAAGAAAAUUACUGAGGCUAAAAUUAUGCGAUAGAGAAAAUUGUAUGAGGUGAAAAAUUGCACAACUAAUAAAAUUACAUGAGUUUAAUAUUUUAUGUCCAUUCGAGUCAUUGGUUAAUUUUUAAAAGUGAGGUUAUUCAGCUACAUUGUGGGCCAUCGUUUUACAUUCCCCCAAACAAACACAAACAAAGAUCAUAGCAGGCAAUCUGGAGGUUUAAAAUGGCAUCAGACGAAUGCGUCGUUCCAAAAAAUAUGCGUCAAAAUAUGUCUCCCAGAAAUGUGAUCAAUCCUGUGGCGCUGUGCAAAUAAUGGUCUAAAUUGUAGGAAUAAAAUGCACGUCCCACAUGACCCACAAUGUUGUUAAUUUAUUCAACAAGAUUUUUACAAUUCAAACCUGUGCAUGGUCUAAAUCUACUCUUUCAACAUCGACGCUGCCAGAAUAAAGAAUUUACCUGAUGUUAAAUUAUGCCACACUUUACCAACGAUUCAAACAAAGAGGUUACAUUAUGUUAAAUUGUGCCACACUUUAUCAACGAUUCAAACAAAUAAUUUAUAUUAUGUUAAAUUAUGCCUUGAUCCAAGUGAUUGGUUCUUAAAACAAUUAGCUUUCAGAGUUUUUAUUGUAGACUGUCCUCAGCUUGUCCACAAUAAAACACAUGAUAAAUAAACAAUACAAAAAGGAAAGCUCCUCGGUGGUGUAAUUAUACACGUUGCGAUGAUGAUAUGACGAUAAUAACUGCCUAAGGGAGAAAUUUUUAAUCCCCCCAUACCUCAGUUCACGAUAUUAUCAUUCUACCGUACUUUCACCGUACUUUUAAUUUUGAAGUGUUAUAAUGUAACACUUCAAAACUUAAGUAUAAGCAUCCAGAAACCUUAUUCAUAAUUAGACAAACAAAAUCACAAAAUCGAAUGAGUCCUGACUAAGUGAAUGUCAUGAAAACUCCUGCAAGUGCUUAUCUAAACAAAUUCCUGAUUGUUAAAUUGUGUUAGAACUUGAAUUUACAAACAAUAAAACAAAUUUAUACACGUGUUGGCGUCGGUCGAAAAUUCACUUAUGUCCGAAUGAAAAAACCGCAAGAAUUAGCUACGCGUGUUGGGGAAACUGUGGCGUCGUCGUCGUUACGAUUAAGUUUCGUUAAACCCUUUUUUAUUAACAACCAAACCAACUAAACUCAACCUAGCUAACUCACCACGUGGUUACACUCACAACAAACACACCAAGAGUGACCCUCCCCCCUCCCUCCCAAGCCGCCAUCUUCUACCAACAGUGAUGCCAACUCUCGCACUAAAUUUCCAAGCAGAACUACUCAUUACCCAAAAAGCGCUAACGUGCAUAUGGUUGCCUACGUUUAACGAUUUUUUUAUUGAUUUUUAUUUUUAAAUUCAAAUUAUUCAAAUGCGAUUUCGCGCCGCUGUUAAUUUUUUUCAGAGCGAAAUUUUUAUUUCAAAUUCGUUCACCACAGUGUGUUUACGACUUUAACUCCAUAAGCACAGUACCAUAAGCAUUCUACAAAGGAUCCCUCAUAAAAUUCAAUAAACACAAGCAAUGGCACGAUAGACAGGUAGACCACUUUCCGUAUUGAAAUAAUUUUAUUUGUUAUUCUUACAACAGCAAAAGAUCUUUCCAGGCAAGCGGAUUUACUGUAACCCACUGUAACGAACUUGUAAAGAUUACCGCAAGUGGAUCCCCAGUAGCAAGCAAUAUUUUUCUAAUAUUUAUACAAGAUUGAUAUAAUAUUAAAUGUUGACUAGAUAUUACAAAUAUUUAUAUAAUAUUCAUUUUAUAUUUAUAAAUUUAUAUAUGAAUUUCAACAUAUAUUACAUAUUUAUGAAAUGUCUUUUUAUCAAGAUACCUAACAACAAACAUGAAAAAAAAAGUACCAUAUUGGGACAAGUUGUAGGUAAUUAGCCAAAUACACUGACGUCAUCCGAGGUCAUCAAGAUGGCAGCGUUUGACAACCACAGAUCACACAAGUGUGUGGUCUGUGUUGACAACUAGCCGGUUUUCUCAUAAGAGUCAAUGCUAAUAUUUUCGGAAUUCAUUUAAAUUUGAGAGUGUGUCAACUGUGUUUUUAUAGUUUGGUAAGUUUGUUACAGUUUCUAGAGUGUGUAGAUAUCUGUAAAACGCACCAUAACGUUUGAAUAUCCUUAAAAAAUAAUGUUUUCCAAUGUGAUGUACAGGUUAACUUCGCUGCAUCUUAUAUUAUUUGUUUUGCAAAUUAAUUCUGUGUUAAUGUACAUCAAUGUUUUUUAAAUACACUAGCAUCUUAAUAUUAUAAUGUUUUGUAUUUUAGGAGAAAAUGCCUAAAUUUUGUGCUGUUGUGGGUUGCGCGAAUCGAAGCACCAGAAAUACGGACAAAUUUUAUUUUCCUUUCCCAGCAAUUAGCAACAAUACAGGUAAAUAUGUACAGGAUGGGGAAAAAAGGCGGAAGCUUUGGUUAAAAGCCUUGAAACGAGUGGAUUUAACGAAGCCAAAGUAAAGUAUUCCUAUAUUUGUUCGGAUUAUUUUAUUUUAGGUACAGUAACUACCUAUUAGGUUUACAGUUUCUAAUAAAUUACUACAUUGAUGCUCUUUUAGGUAAACCUGCAGAUUUGUCGGAUGUGGACCAGCCUGAUUAUGUUCCAUCACAAAAUUUAGGAUAUCAAAAUAAAUUCACUCAUAAUACUUGUAAUGUUGAAAGACACAGUCGUUUAAAAAAGAGAAAACUGAAUAAAUGCCUCUAGACUUUUGAA